AUGAAACACAUGUGGCUUUUUCUCUUUAUGGUGGCAGCUCCCACAGGUGUCCUGUCCCAGGGGCAGUUGCAGGAGGUGGGCCCAGGACUGGGGAAACCCUUACAGACUCUGUCUGUCACCUGCACAGUCUCUGGAUUCUCUUUAACCGACUGUGAUGUGAACUGGGUCCGUCAGGCUCCAGGAAAGAGGCUGGAGUUGGUUGGGGUGGUAUGGUAUUAUGGAAACACAAAGUAUAACCCAACGUUGGCAUCACGAGUCAGCAUCACCAGGGACACCUCCAAGAGACAAGUUUACUUACAGCUGAGCUCCUUGACUGCCGAGGAUACAGCCGUGUAUUACUGUGCAAGAAACACAGUGAGGGGAAGUCAGUGGGAUCCCUAA